AGGAUUUUUCGUGCGUGAACGAUCGCCCGCUUGUGAAAAGUUAGUGCGACGCAGUGGUUCGUCUACGUAAGAUACCAAUUUCACAAGAACAAAAAGGUUAUAAGUGCGAAGAGCGUGCGGUGGUUUAACCGCAAGGACGUUGACGACUUUACCCCUGGGGAUGUCUUCAGUGCUUACUGGGAGCGGCGAUGAGAAGACCAAAGUCGGCUCUACGACACCGUGCUUCUGCAUAUGACAGUCCAAAGAAGAAAUGGACCAAUGUUUCAAUGCAUACGGAACAAAAAAAAAA
rnacentral:lncRNA from 1 species